rnacentral:rRNA from 1 species
UACGUAGGGGGCUAGCGUUGUCCGGAAUCAUUGGGCGUAAAGAGCGUGUAGGCGGUCCGGUAAGUCCGCUGUGAAAGUCGGGGGCUCAACCCUCGAAUGCCGGUGGAUACUGUCGGGCUAGAGUGCGGAAGAGGCGAGUGGAAUUCCUGGUGUAGCGGUGAAAUGCGCAGAUAUCAGGAGGAAUACCGGUGGCGAAGGCGGCAUCCUGGACCGAAACUGACGCUGAGGCGCGAAAGCUAGGGGAGCAAACGGG